GCCAGGCACAGUGGCCUGUGCCUAUAGUCCCAGCUACUAGGUAGGUAGAGGCAGGAGGAUGGCUUGAGCCCAGGAGUCUGAGACUGCAGUGCGCUAUGAUCACACCACUGCACUCCAGCCUGGGCAACAGAGCGAGACCCUGUCUCCC
rfam:Gorilla gorilla gorilla genomic chromosome, chr1, whole genome shotgun sequence